GAUGAACGCUGGCGGCGUGCCUAAUACAUGCAAGUCGAGCGAACGGACGAUAAGCUUUCUUCCCUGAUGUUAGCGGCGGACGGGCGAGUAACACGUGGAUAACCUACUUAUAAGACUGGGAUAACAUCGGGAAACCGGAGCUAAUAACAGCUGAUAUUUUGAACCGCAUGGUUCAAAAGUGAAAGACGGUCUUGCUGUCACAUAUAGAUGGUUCCGCGCUGCAUUAGCUAGUUGGUAAGGUAACGGCUUACCAAGGCAACGAUGCAUAGCUGACCUGAGAGGGUGAUCAGCCACACUGGAACUGAGACACGGUCCAGACUCCUACGGGAGGCAGCAGUGGGGAAUCUUGCGCAAUGGGCGCAAGCCUGAUGCAGCAACGCCGCGUGAGUGAUGAAGGUCUUCGGAUCGUAAAACUCUGUUAUUAGGAAAGAACAUAUGUGUAAGUAACUGCGCACAUCUUGACGGUACCUAAUCAGAAAGCAACGGCUAACUUCGUG
rnacentral:rRNA from 1 species